rnacentral:rRNA from 1 species
GCUCGCAAGGGGAAGCCUGGCGCCCUGCCGCGUGGAGUGGGAAGGCCUUCGGGUUGUAAACUCUUGAGGGAAGAAUUCCGGGUACCCGGUGGCGUUCCUCUCCGGCACGUAUGCGCGCCGGAUA